rnacentral:rRNA from 1 species
AUUGAACGCUGGCGGCAUGCCUAACACAUGCAAGUCGAACGAGAGGCGGACGGGUGAGUAAUGUCUGGGACACUGCCUGAUGGACGGGGAUAACUACUUGAAACGGUAGCUAAUACCGCAUACCAUCAGAUGUGCCCAGAUGGGAUUAGCUUGUUGGUUGGGUAACGGCUCACCAAGGCGAAGAGCCCUAGCUGGUCUGAGAGGAUGACCGGCCACACUGGUACUGAGACACGGCCCAGACUCCUACGGGAGGCAGCAGUGGGGAAUAUUGCACAAUGGGCGCAAGCCUGAUGCAGCCAGGCCGCGUGUAUGAAGAAGGCCUUCGGGUUGUAAAGUACUUUCAGCGGGGAGGCGUUACCCGAAGAAGAAGCAACGGCUAACUCCGUGCCAGCAGCCGCGGUAAUUC